rnacentral:rRNA from 1 species
UACGGGGGGGGCAAGCGUUGUUCGGAAUUACUGGGCGUAAAGGGCUCGUAGGCGGCCAACUAAGUCGGACGUGAAAUCCCUCGGCUCAACCGGGGAACGGCGUCUGAUACUGGAUGGCUUGAGUUCGGGAGAGGGAUGCGGAAUUCCUGGUGUAGCGGUGAAAUGCGCAGAUAUCAGGAGGAACACCGGUGGCGAAGGCGGGUCUCUGGGCCGAUACUGACGCUGAGGAGCGAAAGCGUGGGGAGCGAACAGG